rnacentral:tRNA from 1 species
GGGCCGUUAGCUCAGUCGGUAGAGCAUCUGACUUUUAAUCAGGUGGUCGCAGGUUCGAUACCUGCACGGCUCACCA